rnacentral:rRNA from 1 species
CCUACGGGAGGCAGCAGUGAGGAAUAUUGGUCAAUGGCCGGAAGGCUGAACCAGCCAAGCCGCGUGAGGGAAGAAGGAUCUAUGGUUUGUAAACUUCUUUUAUAGGGGAAUAAAGGUAGCUACGUGAGGAUGUUUGCAUGUACCCUAAGAAUAAGCAUCGGCUAACUCCGUGCCAGCAGCCGCGGUAAUACGGAGGAUGCGAGCGUUAUCCGGAUUUAGUGGGUUGAAAGGGUGCGUAGGUUGUGCUGUAAGUCAGCGGUGAAAGUUUGUGGCUCAACCAUAGAAUUGCCGUUGAAACUGGAAGACUUGAGUGUGUUUGAGGUAGGCGGAAUGCGUGGUGUAGCGGUGAAAUGCAUAGAUAUCACGCAGAACUCCGAUUGCGAAGGCAGCUUACUAAGCCAUAACUGACACUGAGGCACGAAAGCGUGGGGAUCAAACAGGAUUAGAUACCCUAGUAGUC